UUUUUCCAUCAGGAUGAAGAAUCAAGUAACUUCUGCAGAGCACAGCUAUAGGUAUCCUGCAGCUUCCUUCCUUCAAAUGCAAAGGCAAAACUGCAGCAGCAGCCAAGAAGUGCUCCUUACAGUUAGGUUUUACUCAUUUACAGAGAUCUAUUUGCAAAAGGAGGCUUGCGAAUACGCAGCUAGCAAAGGAUACAAAAGAAAUGAGGUCUGCAGGCGCUGAGCGUUCACUUCCUCCCUGCCUGAUCGGAGAUGAAAGCGUUGCAGGGGCCAGGGGAGCAGUUAGGGCCUUCUCCAGAAGUCAAGAGUGACUAAAAUUUGCACCUGUUUCUGACCUACCAACUACAAUCAGAGCUCUGGGUCACCUGGUCCUAGCUCGGGCUAAGGUGGCAAAGAGCGAAGGGUGCUCACAAAGAGAAGUACUCUACAAUCGGCAAGUACUGCCAACUUGUCCUUUGUUGAUAUUCCUACCCCCAUCCACCCUUGUCCUUUCAACUGUACAUCACUGCAGGGUAGGGUGUUUCCUGCUCUCUAGGGAUGGUUGCUUGGUUUCCUCUGUUCCCUCUGUAAUGCCUCCUGUCUCGUAACAGUGGUUUAGUGGCAAAAAGGUGAAAUCUUCUGUUCAGAAAGAAUCAAGAUGAAACGUGAAUUGUAUCAACAUAAUUGAAAAAAUUACUUUCAGCCAUGGUUUGAACAAAAGUGAAAAGCAGUACCUCAGUAGAUGGUAACCCCCAUAUAUA
rnacentral:lncRNA from 1 species